AGGAUGAACGCUGGCGGUAUGCUUUACACAUGCAAGUCGUACGAGAGUUUUUAACUCAAGUGGCGGACGGGUGAGUAACACGUAAGAAUUUGCCUUUAGGAGGGGGAUAACAACUGGAAACGGUUGCUAAUACCCCAUAUGCUUUCGAGUGAAAUGGAUUUUUCCGCCUAAAGAGAAGCUUGCGGCUGAUUAGCUUGUUGGUGAGGUAAUGGCUUACCAAGGCGACGAUCAGUAUCUGGUUUGAGAGGACGAUCAGACACACUGGAACUGAGACACGGUCCAGACUCCUACGGGAGGCAGCAGUGGGGAAUUUUCCGCAAUGGGCGAAAGCCUGACGGAGCAAUACCGCGUGAGGGAUGACGGCCUAUGGGUUGUAAACCUCUUUUUCAGGGAGGAAUCAAUGACGUGUACCUGAAGAAUAAGCAUCGGCUAACUCCGUGCCAGCAGCCGC
rnacentral:rRNA from 1 species